UCUGCUCCCCCCAACCACAGUCCCCCUUUCUCUCUCUCUCUUUCUCUCUGUCCCCUGCCCGCCCUUGUUACCCUUAAAAAACAAAAACAAACAAACAAACAAAGAAACAAAAAAAACUUAAAGAACAAACAAACCCCCAAUAAAUAAAUAAAAUGUUAAAAAAUUGAAUGGGCCAAGGGUGUGGCUCUAUGUGGCUGUCAUCAGAUUUGUGCCCUGAGGAGAGCUUUGGGAAAAAGGUGGACACCUCCCUUUCCCCUUCUGAAAGGAAGUGCUCCUGUCUCUCUCUCCCAUUUGGUCCUGGGACUUGCAACAGAAAGACUUUGAGCAAUAGGGAUCUGACUGCGUGGCUGCUUUUGGCCUGUGGAAAGGGCAGUCUGGGAAAAUCUUUAGCCUUGGGGCCAAACUUGUGGGGUCCCCUGGCUUUUUCAACACCCCUAGAAACCACUAGGCCUCCUAGAUAGCUUCCUGGGACCCAAAUAGAAAGGAAACAGGUUUGUCUGAGUGGGCCAAGCUGGGUCCCUUUCAGCGUAGCUUUUGGAAAAAUCUCUGGGACCUGGAACCGGGUUCAAAACUCCCUUUCUUCCACUCCCCCAAACACACUCCCUCUGUCUCUCUGUCUCUGUCUCCCUCCCUCCCUCCCUCCUGGAACCUUAUUACGUUACUCUCUAUUCAUCCUUCUGGUCAUUUCUUUCUUUCUUUCUUUCUUUCUUUUUCUUUUUCUUUUUCUUUUUUUUUCAAUAUAUGUAACUUUUUAUUGACAGAACAUAUGCCAGGGUAGUUUUUUACAACAUUAUCCCUUGCACUGGCUUCUAUGAACAUGCUUCUUCUUCUUCUUCUUCUUCUUUUUUUUUUAAAUAACUUUUUAUUGAUAGAACGCAUGCCAGGGUAAUUUUUUACAGCAUUAUCCCUUGCAUUCACUUCUGUUCCGAUUUUUCCCCUCCUUCCCUCCCUCCCUCCCUCCACCUCUUCCCCCAGAUACAAGCAGUCCUUUACAUGUUGAAUGGGUUGCAGUAUAUCCUAGAUACAACAUAUGUGUGCAGAAACCGAACGGUUUUCUUGUUGCACAGGGAGAAUUGAAUUCAGAAGGUAUAAAUAACCCGGGAAGAAAAACAAAAAAUGCAAGCAGUUUAUAUUCAUUUCCCAGUGUUAUGAACAUGCUUCUUAAGCAGUUAUUCACAAUGUGGGGGCUCUGAACUUUUGAAAAUAAGGAACACAAUGAUACUAUGUUACUAAAAGUUUUCUCUUGGUCUUUCGUGGGCAUAGGGGAAUUUUCCUCAUUUUAAAAAUUUUUUUCUUUUUCCCCAGCAGGACCUGGUGCCAUGGAUGCCCCAAGCCUACUUUGCUAUAAUAGUGUUUGCCUUUAAAGACAGUAACUGCUAUGGCAAGAUCCAAAAUGAAAAAGAUGAAUGAACAAUCCACAAAGAUGAAAGCAAAGCCAUUGCUGUGGGUUUGAUUUGAUAUUGAAGAAGAAGGAAGAUCUCCACAAAAAGAAUGCAUAUUAACAAAAAUAUAAAUUGCCCCACAAACACACACACACACACACACACACACACACACACACACACACACAAAUGGAAUACUUACAGAAUCCCUAUUUAGCCAAGAAAAAUUGGAAGAAGACAUUGAUGAGUUUCCCCAGACAAAACUGAAACAAAAUUCAAAUAUUCUAGGAAAGAAAACUAUGAGCUGCUUUAAAACUAACAAAGAAAUAAAAACUUUUGACUUCCAAGAUUCUUUCCCUUAUGGCCACUUCCAGUUCCAGUUAAGAAACCAUAUGAUUCAUUCAUUUUUGGUGGAAGCAUAAUGAAUUCAAACAGUAUCCAAAAAAAAAAAAAAAAAAAAAAAAAAAAAAAAAAAAAAAAAAGAGCAGUUAUGGAGAAGGGAGUAGUCUUAGCAUUUACUAACUAGAUUUCCAAUGUAUUUAAGAAAUUGAAACCCCCAAAGUAGUGCUUGGUCUGUGGAACAGUUUAGGUAAGGAAUAUGAAGGAGAAAGUGUUUGAUAAAGACUAAGCUCCAAGCUCCAAUGCCAGGCAAUCGGUAUUGGACUAACCCCUCUCCUUCACCCCCCCCCCCCCCCCAAUAAACAACAACAAACAACAAACGACAACGACAACGACAACAACAACAACAACAACUUCCUGGAACACUGGAAAGCAGGGUGGCAGAAACUAGACCCAGACCACAUUUCACUCUGUCUUUAUACCGAGAUCAGAUCCAAAAAGGGUUACCUGAAUUAGGGAUUCAGGGUCAUAGCCAAAGCCAAGGAAGGGGAUUUUGAGAAAGGGACCUGUCGGAACCAAGAGACUAAGGGAAGACUGAUCAAAGAAGAGAGGAAUUUGGGAGGGGAAAAUUGACCCAGAACAGAUCAUUUUGAUUUCAUGACAGCGAACGGUUUUUGCAUGAGGCGCAUGCAAUGGAACCAACUCGAGAAGAAAAGGAAGAAACCUUGUAUCUCUUGUACUUACUUAGCCCCCUCCCCCCUCUCUCCCAAUAACGUGGGAAAUGUUUUAUUGGGAUUUCUUAUAUAUAAUGAGUUUCUUAGGGCUUUCUUGCCAUCUGAAUGGUACGGAAUGGGGUGGAGUGAUAAGAAACAGGAGUCAGGGUGAGGAUUUAGAAUUAAAAAUUAAAAAGAGAGGCAAACGA